UCAGUUUGUCCGUGAUGUGUACGCUGAGAAACUUAAAACUUUCCACCUUCUCCAUACUUUCCCAUCGAUAUGGAUAAGGGAGUGCUCCCUCUGCUGUUUCCUGAAGUCCACGAUCAUCUCCUUUGUUUUGUUGAUGUUGAGUGUGAGGUUGUUUUCCUGACACCACACUCUAAGGGCUCUCACCUCUUCCUGUAGUCUGUCAGUAUCUGUUCCUCUCAGACCAAUUGCAUUCUUAUACUGGGCUAUAAAUAGAUGUGCAAAGGUUUUAAGAUGUGAUUCAUUUGAACAAGUAUACUUGAUGCAUGUGUAAAUGAACAGCUUUCUUGAUUUAUAAGUAAACUAUUAAUGUGCAAAGCUUCAACUGGAGACAAUUGCAACCCACAUGAUAAUUGCAGCAAUUCAAUAAUAUUUUAAAUAUAUUUUUUGCAAUUACAAGCGGUUCCUGCCAGUUAGGCCUGGUUAGGCRCAACCUAAUCUCGAAAACCCAGAACAAAAUCUUGCAUGAACAUAACUCUCAAAACGCCUGUGCUCCCGACACAGGUAACAUGUUUGUUACGGAUCGUAGGACAGAAUGGGCCCACCCAGAUCAGUCUUAUCUACACCUACAAUUGGAGCACAUUAAAAAACCUAUGACAGCUAUAGGUAUGUUAGUGUAUAUGAAAAUUAUGCACCAUCACAAAAGGGAGCUUUUGUUUCACCAUAAAAGUAGAGAGGAGAGACACAAAAUACAGUGUGUCACUCUCACACUCACUACUGUGGCAUUGCCUGAGUCAUUAUCUACAGCCAACAGCURCUGUYUAUAUURKUAAAAACAUUUUUGAGGACAUGGGAAAAUAGUCGACCCCGUAAGCAAAUCUCAUUUCCAUAUAUCCUGUUUCACUUCUCUCUCUGCAUUAUAAUAAUAACAGGUGGCAGGUUUGGGACCUUCAAAGAACUCUCAAKCAUGAUCCAAUGAAUGUGCUGCUGGUGCCUUAUGUGUUAGUUAUGUAUUAUUAAUAAUAUCAUUAUUGUACUGUAUAAUAAAAUGUUAAAUAAUUUACUUWCAUAACAAUAUCCCUAAUUGUACUUUUGGUUGGAAAAACAAUGAACUACAUUUCUUGUAGUCUCUCUUGACCUACAGUUAACAGAUGCAGGUACGUUUCUCCCCUUCUCUUGCUUGUUUAGUCAUUCAACAUUAGGGAUGCACUUUUGUGAUUUGCAUGGUUAUCAAUGGCUGGGAAAUAAAUGUUGAGCUCUAAAGAAGGGAAUAAUCUUGCAUUUUGAAUUAGUUUUAGAACGGACACAAACUGUAGUUUUUUCACUAUGAUGUUAUCAUACCUAUCUUUCCUCAACUAUCUCUCUCUUUCCUCAACUAUCUCUCUCAUUCCUCAUCCGUCAAGGGGACAAGGAAUCAAGGGGACAAAGAAUCAGACAAACACUUGGAUUACCCAGAAGAAGCACCAGAUCGCAGUAAGCCGGAAGUUUGUGACCCUGACUGAAGUGGUUGAGCUGAGCUGCGAGUCCUCUGCCCUUGUAGAGGGUCAGCAGUGUUUGUUCUAUGUGGAUUCUAAACUCAAGGAGCUUGGUCGCUCAAAUGCCAGCCACAACCAAUGCUCCCUCUCAGUAAAGGGGUCAGAGCUGCUUGGGUGGAAGCCCAGAGGGCUGUGGUCAAAGGUCACCGUCCAGUAUCAUUAUUAAGAGGAGGAGGGCGUCCACUCACCUCCCAGCAAAAAUGUCACAGUGGUGGUGUGGAACACAAACAUGCUGACUAAAUACAUCAUCGGAUGUAUGGCCCUGAUAGGAUUCAUAAUUCUACUUGCAGUAUUCAUAUUCUGCAUCACKUGUCUCCUCUCACUGAAAGCAAAGAGGAACGGACGCCUCGUCAUAACAAGAUCGUCCAGUGUCCAGACAUUGCAAGGAGACCCUACCCUAACAACAAGUGACACAACAAAUCCUGCAGAAURUCCACAGGAAAAGAAGGSAAUACCAUGACAUAAUUAUGUUUUUKUGUAGCUGCCUCAUGCUCUUCCUCUACUUUGCCACCAUAGUGCUUURUUGGUUUUCUGUGCAUAAACAGUACAGUGGGCUGGCACACAACAUAUAAGCAUGUUAUAAAUGAAWAACAGUUGGAAUUGUGYUMUAUUGWAAGGAUUUGAUGAUUUGAUGUUUUCUUUCAAAUAGUGAUUUGUCCUCAUCCCUUUGUUGCAAUCACAGGAAGGUGAAGAUGAUUUGUGCUAUGCCCCCGUGUCCCAUGCUGGUGCUCCUCCAUCCUACUCAGUCAUGUUUGAGCAAGGCCAUGACUAUGCCACAGUGGUCAUAUACUGACCAGCAUGUGCCGACCUGAAUGGACAUGAAAGGACUUCCACAUGGAUAGAUUGUUUGACUUUAACACCCCCAUUUCAAUUUCCUUUCCAAAAAAUCAAUUGCAUAAAUUMWUUUGCAAUGUAGUUUUGAUCAUCCAAUUUUUCACUUUAAGAGAACAAUAAAGUUUUUGUAUUCCACCAUAAUUUCUGUUUGUCUUGUGUGCACCUGUCAGUCCCAGUCGCGAGAAACAGUAACAUAGCGCACGCUACUUUUCGCUGACCAGGCACUCAUCUUUGCUUACCUGCUGAAUGCUUCUAAAUGUAAGCCAUUUACUUAAAGUAAUAAUUACUUCUUAGGCUACUCUCUCAUUUCUCAAUUAAAUUGAAAUCAUAUGUUAAGUCAGCUGCUUUUAUAAAUUCAACGAGGGUUAAGUCUACUCCAAAUGUGCACG